CCUGACGCAGCGACGCCGCGUGGGGGAGGAAGCUUUUCGGAGUGUAAACCCCUGUCAGGAGGGAAGAAAGGCUUGGUGAGGAAAUGCAUCAAGUUUGACGGUACCUCCAGAGGAAGCACCGGCUAACUCUGUGCCAGCAGCCGCGGUAAUACAGAGGGUGCGAGCGUUGUUCGGAAUUACUGGGCGUAAAGCGCGCGUAGGCGGUCGCUUAAGUCUUACCGUGAAAUGCCGGGGCUCAACCCCGUGCACGUCGGGGGAUACUGGGUGACUGGAGACAGGUAGAGGCGAGUGGAAUUCCGGGUGUAGCGGUGGAAUGCGUAGAGAUCCGGAAGAACACCAGAGGCGAAGGCGACUCGCUGGGCCUGGUCUGACGCUGAGGCGCGAAAGCGUGGGGAGCAAACAGGAUUAGAUACCCUGGUAGUCCACGCCCUAAACGAUGUGGGCUAGAUGUCGGGGGGCUUGCCCUUCGGUGUCGGAGCUAACGUGUAAGCCCACCGCCU
rnacentral:rRNA from 1 species